rnacentral:rRNA from 1 species
AAGACCUUGCACUUUUGGAGCGGCCGAUGUCUGAUUAGCUAGUUGGUGGGGUAAUGGCCUACCAAAGCUUCGAUCAGUAGCUGGUCUGAGAGGACGGCCAGCCACACUGGGACUGAGACACGGCCCAGACUCCUACGGGAGGCAGCAGUGGGGAAUUUUGGACAAUGGGGGCAACCCUGAUCCAGCCAUGCCGCGUGAGUGAAGAAGGCCUUCGGGUUGUAAAGCUCUUUCAGCCGGAACGAAACGGUUACGGUUAAUACCCGUGACUACUGACGGUACCGGAAGAAGAAGCACCGGCUAACUACGUGCCAGCAGCCGCGGUAAUACGUAGGGUGCAAGCGUUAAUCGGAAUUACUGGGCGUAAAGCGUGCGCAGGUGGUUUUGUAAGUCAGAUGUGAAAGCCCCGGGCUCAACCUGGGAACU